CAAUAGCGUAUAUUAAAGUUGUUGCGGUUAAAAAGCUCGUAGUUGGAUUUCUGCUGAGAACGACCGGUCCGCCCUUUGGGUGUGUAUCUGGCUCUUUCUUGGCAUCUUCUUGGUGAACGUUGCUGCACUUGACUGUGUGGAGCGCUACCCAGGACUUUUACUUUGAGGAAAUUAGAGUGUUUCAAGCAGGCAUACGCCUUGAAUACAUUAGCAUGGAAUAAUAAGAUAGGACCUCGGUUCUAUUUUGUUGGCUUCUAGAGCUGAGGUAAUGAUUAAUAGGGAUAGUUGGGGGCAUUCGUAUUUAACUGUCAGAGGUGAAAUUCUUGGAUUUGUUAAAGACGGACCACUGCGAAAGCAUUUGCCAAGGAUGUUUUCAUUGA
rnacentral:rRNA from 1 species